CUGGUGUGCGACGGGCCCAACGGGGCCAGGCACCUGGGCCCAGAACGGGUCGCGCAGCUGCAGGACAGCGUCCGCCAGAAGCUCCUGGGUUUGUUCUGUCAGCUGAAACCGAGGGCGAGAACGGUCCCUAAGUGGCCCGACAAGCCGUACGAGUGGAACCAGGUGGACCCGAAGCUGGUCAUGGAGCAGGCGGAGCGGGAGG